ncrna:Thermotoga lettingae TMO HNH endonuclease-associated RNA and ORF (HEARO) RNA
GUCAACUACCCGCCGCCUAUAGAGGCGGGGGCUUGAAAAAGCCCUGAUUGACUACCCUCAGCCACAUAAGUGGCUACGUUAGACAGUUACACCUUGGGAUGCUGCUCAAGUUCCAGGCUCUGUCGUGCAGGUCUAAACAGUCCUGAGGGGUAGGGACAGUGGCAGACAUAACAAGCCUGUCUAACAUUGAGGAUGAGCACCUUAC